UGGGUAACCUGCCCGGAAGUGGGGAAUACCUCGGGGAAACUCGAGCUAAUACCGCAUGACAUCUUUAGGACGAAAGUCCUGACGAUCAAAGCGGGGUCGCAAGAUCUCGCGCUACCGGAUGGGCCCGCGCCCGAUUAGCUAGUUGGUGUGGGUAAUGGCCCACCAAGGCGACGACGGGUAGCCGGCCUGAGAGGGUGACCGGCCACACUGGGACUGAGACACGGCCCAGACUCCUACGGGAGGCAG
rnacentral:rRNA from 1 species